CUUGGUGUGAACAAAAAAAAAAAAAUGAAAGUGCUGAAUGCUAGAGCUUUGGCAUAAUUUACUCCAAAUUUCAGCCAGAGAACACU